rnacentral:lncRNA from 1 species
CACGCCUGUAAUCCCAGCACUUUGGGAGGCCGAGGCGGGCGGAUCACGAGGUCAGGAGAUCGGGGGCCAUUGUAUGCCAACUCCCAUCUGUCAUUGGUUGAGGGUCACUUCCAGGGGACAGUAAUUCCCCAGCAGGUCCUGCCUGCCACACAAGGGCAGAGAAAGCUCUCAGGCAAAGCUAUGGUGGCAGCGGGAAGUUGGGCCAGCGUGUGCUGAAGUGGUGAGGGCUGAAGGGAUACGGAGAGGAGCCCUCAGUAUUGCUAUUUUAAAGAUGAGAAAAUUUAGUUUCACAUGGUCCCAUAUUUUCUCAAAAUGGGAUAAUGAUAGUAUCUGCUUCGUAGAAUUAUCAGGAGAGUUGUGUAAGUGAACAACGCCAAGGGCUUCCAUCAGAGCUUGUCAUAGGGCAAGUAAGCACCAUUUAAGUGCUAGUUGUCAUCAUCUGAAGAUUUUUGCUGUUCUGUGAUGUAAAUUUUGUUCCCACCACCCCCCUCCACAAUGUUUAGUUAAGCUGUUCAAACUCGCAAAUACAUUGGGGCGAUGGGGGCUUGUGGAGCUAAAGGUAGGGGCUAACAUUAACCACUGGUCCAACCACACAAAUUCUCAAUGAUGGGCUUGCACAACAUCUGGAGGCCUGCGGACUUUUGGGGGCAUGGAUUUGGGAAUUGGAACCCUGCUCUUACCUCUCUCUCAAACGGCAUGA